UACGUAGGUUGCGAGCGUUAUUCGGAUUUACUGGGCGUAAAGAGCACCGAGGUGGCUUCUUAAGUUGGAUGUAAAAUCUCCUGCUUAACUGGGAGGCGCCAUUCAAAACUGAGGAGCUUGAGGUCAGCAGGGGAAGGUGGAAUUCCCGGUGUAGUGGUGGAAUGCGUAGAGAUCGGGAGGAACACCAGUGGCGAAAGCGACCUUCUGGGCUGCACCUGACACUCUAGUGCGAAAGCGUGGGGAGCAAACAGG
rnacentral:rRNA from 1 species